rnacentral:rRNA from 1 species
UCGCCUGUUUAAACAAAAACAUGGUUUUAGAGUUGAAGUUGUAAAAUUUGGCCUGCCCACUGAAAAUGUUAAAGGGCCGCGGUAUUUUGACCGUGCAAAGGUAGCAUAAUCAUUAGUCUUUUAAUUGAAGGCUGGAAUGAACGGUUUUAACGAGGUACGAAGCUGUCUCUUGAUAAAACCUUUGAAUUUAACUUUUUAGUAAAAAGGCUAAAAUAUAGUUGGAGGACGAGAACGACCCUAUAGAGCUUUAUAAUUUUCUUUAAAUUUAAAUUUGUAGGUGUUAUAAGAUAAAUUUAAAGGGAAUUCAUUUGAUUGGGGUGAUUUGCAAGAUCUUAAUAAACUCUUUAUCGAUUCUAUUACAUAGAUUAAUGGUCUAAUUGAUCCAUUUUUAGUGACUUAUAAGACUAAGUUACCUUUAAGGGAUA